rnacentral:rRNA from 1 species
GGGAAUCUGCCCUUGGGUCUGGAAUAACAGUUAGAAAUGACUGCUAAUACCGGAUGAUGACUUCGGUCCAAAGAUUUAUCGCCCAAGGAUGAGCCCGCGUCGGAUUAGCUAGUUGGUGAGGUAAAAGCUCACCAAGGCGACGAUCCGUAGCUGGUCUGAGAGGAUGAUCAGCCACACUGGGACUGAGACACGGCCCAGACUCCUACGGGAGGCAGCAGUGGGGAAUAUUGGACAAUGGGCGAAAGCCUGAUCCAGCAAUGCCGCGUGAGUGAUGAAGGCCUUAGGGUUGUAAAGCUCUUUUACCCGGGAUGAUAAUGACAGUACCGGGAGAAUAAGCCCCGGCUAACUCCGUGCCAGCAGCCGCGGUAAUACGGAGGGGGCUAGCGUUGUUCGGAAUUACUGGGCGUAAAGCGCACGUAGGCGGCUUUGUAAGUUAGAGGUGAAAGCCCGGGGCUCAACUCCGGAAUUGCCUUUAAGACUGCAUCGCUAGAAUUGUGGAGAGGUAAGUGGAAUUCCGAGU